GGGCUAUUAGCUCAGGUGGUUAGAGCGCACCCCUGAUAAGGGUGAGGUCGCUGGUUCAAGUCCAGCAUAGCCC
rnacentral:tRNA from 1 species